UACGUAGGGUGCAAGCGUUGUCCGGAAUUAUUGGGCGUAAAGAGCUCGUAGGCGGUUCGUCGCGUCGGCUGUGAAAACCCGGAGCUCAACUCCGGGCCUGCAGUCGAUACGGGCAGGCUAGAGUUCGGCAGGGGAGACUGGAAUUCCUGGUGUAGCGGUGAAAUGCGCAGAUAUCAGGAGGAACACCGGUGGCGAAGGCGGGUCUCUGGGCCGAUACUGACACUGAGGAGCGAAAGCGUGGGGAGCGAACAGG
rnacentral:rRNA from 1 species